rnacentral:rRNA from 1 species
AUUGAACGCUGGCGGCACGCCUAACACAUGCAAGUCGAGCGGUAGCAUGGAUAGUAGCACUACUAUCUGAUGACGAGCGGAGGACGGGUGAGUAACACGCAGGAACUUGCCCAAUAGAGGGGGAUAACCAGCGGAAACGCUGGCUAAUACCGCAUAUACUCGGAAGAGGAAAGCUGCCCGCAAGGGUGGCGCUAUUGGAGAGGCCUGCGUCCGAUUAGCUAGUUGGUGAGGUAAAGGCUCACCAAGGCUGGGAUCGGUAACUGGUUUGAGAGAACGACCAGUCACACUGGGACUGAGACACGGCCCAGACUCCCACGGGAGGCAGCAGUGGGGAAUUUUGGACAAUGGGCGAAAGCCUGAUCCAGCCCUUCCGCGUGCAGGAUGAAGGCCUUCGGGUUGUAAACUGCUUUUGUACGGAGCGAAAAGGCUCUCUCUAAUACAGGGGGCUCAUGACGGUACCGUAAGAAUAAGCACCGGCUAACUACGUGCCAGCCGCCGCCGUAA